rnacentral:tRNA from 1 species
GGUAUCGUUGGGCAGGUGGUGUGCCCCACAGGUUGUAACCCUGUCGCCUUCGGGCAUUGAGAGUUCGAUUCUCUCCGGUAUCAC